CAACAGGAAGAGGAAUGCGGCUGACCCAUCAGUGCACUCGAGGGUGAGAGUGAUCGUGUGGGCAGCAUAUGGCCAUGUUUCUCCAGCACCAUUGCUCACUCUGUCUUCUCCAGCCUUCGGGGACUGUUGUCAGAGUCAUGGGAGCCCCAGAGUGUUCACGAGGAGCUUGUGCAAUGCAGGAAGUGGUCCCUAAUUGCUGGCUCGUUUAUUAUUUUUAUUCACACAGAAACUUUCUAGCAGUGUAGCCAGUUUCUAGAUCCUUCUUUUCCAAGGUCGCCAUUUUGAAUUCUUUAACUUUCGGUGGGGACUUUGCUGUGUCUAGCAAUGGCUACUUCCUUCAGGGUGAAGGUCCGUAAGUAAUCACUGCUCACAAAGUGGCAGGGGUCUUCCUCAUCCAGCCCAAGUCAGAUCCUCCAGACACUUAUUAAGGCCCUUCAGAGCUGAUUAGAGGGAAAUCACAGGCAGCAUGUGCCUAAUAUAAAAUAUGCACAGUAACACCAUCCUAAUUAGAUGUACAUGUCUCUGAAGAUAUAAAUAAAUGCUUCCUUUUUGAUAUGUCUGAUUUAAUAGCCUAAUAACAGGGGAACGUUGCUGAAAUAUAAUUCAGGGGGUGAGGGAGAAAUUAAUAAACUCAAAUAUUUAAAGCUCAACAGCAAUUAACAACACAUUUAAAGCAAAUUUCUGAAUUUUAAUUUUAUUUAUCCUUAUCCAACCAGGACUGAGUCCGUUGUUCAUCGUUAGUCUUUUGCACACCUGACAGGGUGCUUUGCCCUUGGCUCGGGAGGCACCAUCACUUCCAUGAUACGGCGGCCGCAGACCAUCGGAAGCCCCUGGAGCUGCCCCAGGCCUGGCCUCACAUUCCCCUUCACCCUUCUGCUGCUCUCAUCCCUUGGGAACUCAGUUCCUAGUUUUUGUGCUGUGUGUUUAAUGGCGCAUCGGCCUCUGUGGAUCAGAAUGCUGUUCUCUUUAGAGUCCCCGUGGUGCAGAGAAUGUUCAGGUCAGUGACCUCUGGUGGGCAAGGGCACAGCGAGCCUGACCUCCUUCCUACUCACACCAAGGAGACAAACACAUGGCCUCCAGGCAUGGGUGGUGAUUCAGUCUAGACCCCUCGUUUUUUAAAAUACACAUUUCUUAAUAUUUUAGUUAUUCAUCCAAUUGUAGUUUGGCAGUAAAAGUUAUUUUGCAGCAAGAAAGAUCUUACAUGUAUAUUAGCACAUCAAUCUUCACUCCUUCAUUUUGCCUUUCCCAUUUUCCCUGGUGGCUUUGUGAGAAGGCAGGACUUUGGUGUUCCGGGGUCAGGUUUGUUCAGCUCACAGUGAACAGCUGGGGAACUCUAAUUCCUCAGGCUCACCUCGGACAGAUUUUAACCUUGAGUUUCUCUCUUCACCUCAAACAUGGAGACCUGACAUCCUCCUGGGGUGGGAGGGGUGUAGUGGGCCCUGAUGCUUGGGAUUUCCCCCUCAUACCUGCACCUAGUGGGACACAGGGUGGGAGCAGAGGGCAGGGCUCGCAACCACAAACACUUCAAUGGAGAGUCUUGACGCUGGAAGGACACAGGGCUGGGAGAGAAGGCCACAAGAGCCAAGGUGGCUUUUCUAACACAAUGCCUGAUGUGAGCCUAGAAGGGAACAACCCAGAGAAAAGGAACUGGGGGGGUAAGGAAGGUCGCGUGUGGUGUUAAGGGACUUUGCAUUCCCCAAGGGAAAUGCAGACAGGCUACUUAUAAAAGGAAGAGGUUCAUUUAGCUCACAGUUUUGGAGGUUCAAGGGCACGACACCUGUGUCGGCUGAGUUCUGUGAAGGCCCAAGGCAGGCAAUGGGUAGGGGAUGGUGGGGCACUUGUGGAGGAACUAGUCACUUCUCAAACAAGAGCAGGGGACAAAGAGACUAGCAUCACACAUCCUUUUGGGGACACAUCCCUAGUGACUUAAGGACCUACCAGUAGCCCCCACCUCCACCUCCCCAAAGUUUCACCUCCUUUUUAAAGGACCACCUGGGGACCAAGCCUUCAGUCUCAGGGACUCUUGGUGGGCAAAAGCCAUAUUAAAACCAUAGCGCGUGUAGAGGGCCAAGGUGGGGAACCCUGGAGUCCCCCUACGUCAAGGGCUGCACCUUCUGCCAGGAGCAUUGUCCUUGCCUUCCUGUCCUUGUUCUUCCCUGAGGGCCACCCAGUGCCCCAGCAGGAGCCAUCAGCCACGUCUGUGCUACACGUUUCUGCACCAUUGGCUUCAUCCAGGGUCUCCCCAGUUACACACUCUCAGAGAACUUAGAACUGGGGAUUCUGAGGUGCUCACCCCCUUGAGCCUUCUUCAUAGGGGCUGGAGACAGGAAGUAGGAACCUCUAUGUGGGUGCCCAUCAUCAGCUCUUCGACAGAGGCAAGGACAGCCAGGCUACAGAGAAAGAGGAAAAUGCCACAUGCAGAGAGAAUGUGUGACAAGAGGCCAGCAGCUGCCUGGGCUGCGGGGCUUAUCAGCAUCCCACCCAGUGCUGGCCAGGCCUGCCGUGCUUCCGGCCCUCGGAUACUAUUUAUCUGAAGAAUAAACUCCCCUUUGUCUUUUGUUGACACUCACAUGGAUCAUGAUAAUUGUAACAAAAACAAGCUUUGAAUAGCCAUAAUGACCAACAGGAGCCAGGGACAUCUUGGGCGAGUCCAACAUAUUGGAGAAAGCAGGGAGCCAGAGAGGGAUUAAGUCCAUCACAGAAGAUGCUCCAGAGGAGGACUGCUCCUCUUAGAAGCUGUGAGGAAGGCAGGGGACAGUAUGUCCCUGUGCCAGGUGAUCGGUCCCUGAGCUGUUCAACAGUGAGGUCCCCAGGCUAUCCAUCUGAGAUGGUGCAUUUGCUUCCUUGGGCUGCUGUGAUAAAUGACAAACUUGGUGGUUGACAAUAGAAACUGAGUGUCUCACAGUUCUGGAGGGCAGAGCACCCACAGGGCUCUCCACUCCUGCCUCAUCCAGCCUCUGCUGGCUGCAGAACCCCUUGACCUGUGGCCACAACAUUCUCUGCCUCUGUUUGCUGUGUGCCUUCUCUUUUUACCAUCUCUCCUCUGAGUGUCUCUUACAAGGACCCUGGACAUUGGAUUUGAGGCCCACCUGGGUAAUCCAGGAUGGUCUGAUCUAAGGGGCAUCUAUGAACCUGCUUUCCCCCGGGGGUCCUGGGUUGGUGGUGUCUUGUUGGGAGCACCUAUCCAGUGCAGCUCCAACGACAAAUGGCAGGGAGGGAAGACUUGGGAUGUAACACGGGACUCUUGCAUCUUUCCUGUUGCAUCAGCCUUAAUGUUUAUUAAUUCUCUCUUAUUUAAAUUUUCUCUUGAAACAUAAUGGACAGUUUAUUUCUAGGGGAGAUUUUUGUACCAGUCAGUUAUGCUGCUCAGUGAAACAGGUAUUCAGGUUUCUCAGUGGGAGUUUGAGCCAAAGAAUAAAGAAUAUGCUGAAGAAUGCUUACAGCUAUUAGACCAUGGGCAGCAUGGACACCAUCUGAGCUCCUGAGCAAGAGGGUUCGUUUCCUUCCAGGACAUGGUGGUAGGUGAGGAAGAGGAGAAGGCAGGUCAGAUGUAGCUGCUGAAGUAGGUUCAGGACUUGUAGGUUGGUGAGAAAACUCAGAAGACUCAGGGAAGAUCAGGCAAAAACAGGUGAUGUUCCAGUUGACAGGACCCGGUGGAAAAUUAGGAGAUUAUUGUAAGCAGACAGAGUGGUGAAUCAAGGGAAGGUGCAUUAAUUUUUUCCUAUUGAUCUUCUGCUUUUGCCAAGCUGCCUGAAGCCAUAAAGAUGUACAACAGCUACUGGAGUAGCUCAGAGAACUACGGAGAAGCUGAACAGUCCAGCUUGGAAACCCACAGAAUCCCAAGUAGAGCCUGCCACUGAACUCUGCCACGUUCUGCAGCUCUGCCAUCGCACACCCUGCCCCAGUCACGUCAGCGUGUCUUCCCAGGCAAGUUUUUCCCAGGGAGAACCUGACCCACCCAGACCUCGCACACAUGCUGACCCGCGGGGCUGGGUGGAGACAUGGCUUCUGUGAAUGUAUUGGGGGCUAGAAAGUCAUGCCAACUGGAAUCAAGGACAGUGACACUCAAGAGCUAGGUGGGCAGGAGGGGACCAAAAGUGCAGGGCUUAAGCGACUGUACUGGGAUUGGGAAUGGGGCUUCAGACUGCAGGGACUAGAAACAGAAAAGGCUGGGGGAGCUGAGGAGCCAUCUGGAGGUGGUAUAGUGCAGGGUGGUGGCUCUCAAACUUUUUCAUCUAAGGACCUCUCCGCACUCUUAAAAAUUAUUAAGGCCCCACAGAGGGAACUUUAGCUAUCAAUGUUGACCUUAUUAGAAAUUAAGCCGGAGACGUUUUUAAGACACAGAACAUAUGUACACUCAUUCCGUAGUUGUCGGAGUGAUGGUGUCGCCUCUCUUCUGACAGCCUUGGACCACUGCCCUGCGUACUCCUGAGAGGGAGUGAAAAAGGCAAACGACAUCUUAGUGUGAUCAGGAAUGAGCUGUGACCCUGGAGGACCUCAGGAAGGAUUUUUCCCAGGGUUCCCAGAUACACUUGGGAAAUGAUGGCACAGUUGUUCAGAACCUGGCCUCCAGGGCCAGACUGCAGCAGGGAGACAGCAGGUUUCUCAGGCAAUGCCUCCAUUUCUUCAUAAAAUGAGGCAGUAGUGGUGCCUUCCUGACAGGGCAGCUGAGAGGAUAAGAGACAAUUCACAGGAGGGUCCCUGAGCGAGCCCGGCACAUUGUGUGUCAUCAGAACAUACAAUGUGGUUCUGAUGUGUGUGGUUCUGCUCAGUCCUUGCAUGACUGCCCCAAGGGCAGAGCCCAGACAGUCCGGGCCUUCAGAUCCCAGGGCUGCUGAGUGAACAGCCUCAGCUCCAAAGGUCAACGCAGGGGCUCCUGGCUCCAUGAGGGGUCCUCAUGCUGAGUCCACCUCUAUGAGAAGGCUCAGCCCCACCCAGGAGCCUGAGGGAUCUCACGACCCUGGUGGAUCUCCAAGGCUUUGAUCUCAGGAGAUACUGAAGUAACAGUCCUUGGAAAUGAGAUGCAGUCUGAUAUCUCAGCCAAGAUGAUUGUUAAAAAAAAAAAAAUGUUUUUAUGAUAUACAUGACCUGAAUUGCUGAGGUACCUCUUUCUUUGCCUUAAUCAAUAAAAAUGUGAAAUUGGGCCAAUUUAUGAAUAUUUCAUAUAUGUAACAAAUCUAACUUUUUAAUGAUCAAAAGUAAUCAGUUCAGUGGAGUCUCCAGAACCCAGGAGGCAGGCCGGGUGGCGGACACAAGCACACCACCCUAAGUGCUCAGUUCUGUUCCAACUGGCCCAAGGAUGUCAGACCCAGCUCCCUCCAAGGAGAGCCAGUGCUCCUCGGAGGCUGGGAUACACUGGACAGUCCCACCAGCAGGGCCUAGGAGCGCGUGGUGCUGGCCAAACUCGCACACAUGCAAAUGAUACCAGAGCCGUGCGCUCAGGCCAGGCAGACCCUCCAUCAAUACUGCCCUGAUAGGACGUGUUCCUUACUUGAAGAGACCACAGUAGGCUGAGAAGGUCAUGUCCAGAGCAUUACCUACAUAAAUAGGUAAACAAAGACAUUCAGACAACAGGGUUGUAUGAGCAAGGGGCACUUCCCUGUGUAACAGGGCAGGGUGGGGUUUGGCUGCCUGAGGUCCAGGAAGCGCCAACAGGCUUGCCUCCCUCCUGGUUUAGCUUUCUCCUCUUUUCUCCUGGGGACCCCACCCACCCACUCCCACGCAAGGCUCUCAGGACGUCUUACACUUUGGGGCUGUUCUUUCUCUCUGUGCCCAUUGCCGUGGGCCAGUCCUCACAGAGCAUUGGCAGUGUUUCCAGCACAGAGGCCCACAGAGUGGCCCCUGUUCAUUCCCUGCUUUUUGAGCCCUAUCUGCUGGCAUGAGUUACCUUGAGGCCCAUCCCUGCACAGCCGGAGAACCUAGAGCUGGAGGGCUGCAGAGGCCACCUCCUUCAGCUUCUUGGCAGACUGCAGAAAACAGAUGUGGAGGAGGAAAGGACUUUCUCCAUGGGCUAGGGAGUGAAGAACAAAGCACUUGCCCCCCCCCCCCCGUGUGUGUGUGUGUGUGUCUGUAUGUGUGUAUGUGUGUGUCUGUGUGUGUGUGUGUUUGUGUGUGUGUGUCUGUGUGUCUGUGUGUUUCUUCCUCUCAUCUGCCUUUUGCUCAACUAUGGAAGUCUUGGAGCAGGUAGGGAAGAUCCAUGUCCAGAGCAUUACCUACAUAAAUAGGAAAACAAAUACAUUUGGGAAGAUAGGAACAGUAUUUCUACUCUUGUAAGGCAAGCUGAUUUCUCUGCAGUUCUCUAGGUCUUGUGCCUGCUAAUCCAUAAGAAAGGGUUCUCUGAAGCCCAAGUUGUUAGCUGAUAAGGGAUUCAGGAGAUUUGUAUAAUAAGGGACUCUUAAAGGCCAAAAUGGCUCUCAAGACUCAAAGGACUGAAGUUAUGAAAGUGGAAAAUUAAACUGUGCUGCUGAGUUCCCCGGGCCUCCCUGAAGCCCAACACUGUGUUCUUUCUGUUUGGAGUGCAGGAGCCGGCCAGGACUCUGUUGAUGACCUGGAUCACACCUCUGUGUUACCAGUUCCCAGGAAGGCUCGCCCUGCUGUUAGGAGGCACAGGGUGUGAGAGCUCGGAGUCCAGAGCUUCUCGCUCAGGUUACUCUUGGGUUGAAGAGGCGAAGUGAUUUUCUCCAGUCACACACCACUUAGUGUUGGAAGCAGAGCCUUUGGAAGCUCUGGUGUCUCAGACCAGAACCCUCUAUACCAGUGGACCCCAUGCCUCUGACUAUGUGGAGCACUUCAAAGUCAAAGCUGUCACCUUGGACCUCAAGGGCACCUGAUCUUAACCAGGUAUGAUGGCAUGACCUUAGCCAGGUAUGAUGGCAUGCACCUGUGGUCCCAGCUACAGGGUAGGUUGAGGUGGGGGGAGGGGGUUGCCUGAGCUCAGAGUUUGGACGCCAGCCUGGGCAGAUUCUAGACCCUGUAGCUAGGAUAAGAUAAGUACAUAAAAAGAUCAAAGGCACCCAACCAUGAAUCAGUCUUUGGCGAUUCACUGCUGAAUCAACCACUCUGAUUUAGCCCUCAGUGUCAGUGGACACAAACACCCUCCUGCCCAAGUCAUCCUCUGCCCAAAAUUCUACAGGGUUUCUCUUGCCUAUUCACAUGUCUCGUCCUGUAUUACACAUGAGGGUCUGUCUCCCUGGAGUAAUGAUCUUGUUUAAACUUUUAGGGGAAAAAGACCACACCAUUAUGAUAGUGCCCCCCUUAUCUGCAGAGGUAUAUUUCAAAUUACUCCAUGAGAGCCUAAAACUGAGGACGGUACCAACAUCUAUAUAUACUCUGUUUUUUCAUAUGCAUGCCUACCUAUGGUAAAGUUGGACUUACAAAUUAGGCACAGUAAGAGAUUAACAACAGCAACUAAAACUAAACAGAACAACAUACCGUAAUCAAAGCUUGUACUUCAGGCCAUUCUUAGGUAAAAUAAGUUCCUUGAACUCAAGCAUUUCAAUACCGGGACUGAUGGUCUGAUAAGAAGUGACUACUAAGUGGAUGGGCAGUGCUUCCAUAGGGGUGUGCUAGACAACGGGGGACUCACGUUCGGGGCAUGAUGGAGAGCUGCAGGGCCACGUUUCUUCAGACCACUCAGAACAACAGCAAUAAACAACACAAACUUGUGAAACAUUAUUUCUUGAAACUUCCAUUUAAUAUUUUCAGACUGCAGUUGACUGUAGGUAACCAAAACCAUGGAAAAUGAAACUCUGGUGAGGAGGGACUACUGUAUUUUUAUUUUAACUAUGAAAAGAAGUAAAGCUUGAUUGAUCCUCUGAGAUAACACAGGCACAUGGCUCUUUCAGGCUACUGCCGCCCAAAAGUUCAAGUUCCUCUAACAUGGAGCACAAGGAAAGGGCAAAACUUGGCUGGUGAUGGUCAGCAAAGCCCUUCAUGAUUUGACCCUCACCUUCAUCACCUCCCUGCGCUCAGGGGCUCAAGGCCCUGCUAGAUGACCAGCGAUGUCCCACGCAGCCUGUGUGUUUCUGUGCCCACUGCUCGUGGGCACAUGGUUCCUGCUAACUUGGGGGUCUCCACUUGGGCAUGAUUGACAUUAGGGGCUGGGUGAGUCUCUAUUGGGGGCUUGUCCUGUCUAUUGAAACCACAUCCUUGCUGGUCUCCACUCACUUGAGGCCCAAAUUGACCUCAAGUCAUGACAAUCAAAAAAUGUCUCCAGUCACCACCACAUGUCCCCUGGGGGAGGGGGAGCUGCAAAUCGCCUAGUCAAUACCCACUGUUUUAAUGGAAUGAACUUCUGGAGCCCCUCCAUCUAGUGAUCCUACUCCUUUCCUGGCUCAAUCCAAACAUCACCCCUCUGGGAAGCCUUCUGGAAGUGCCCAGGCAGAACUAGAUGUCCUUGUUUCCACAGGACUUUGUAGAUGUGCCCCAGUUCUGUGCUUAUUCGUGGUGGUGCAAUUGUUUGCUCUGCCCCAUUAGACUAUGAACUCCAGGAGGUCAAGGAUUAUGACUCUGAAUCCACAUUCUUAACUUCCCAGCACUCAGCCAACAUCUGACAUAGAAGGAACUGAGUAAAUGUUGAAUGAAUGGGCCGUGUGCAACGUCAGGCUGACCCUCCCUGAGGAGUGACUCCUCCAAGACAUGUCAUGAUUAUUCUCAGUCACUGCCAGAAAUGGUCUCAGCCUCGUGAUCUCACUCAAUCCUUGUUUGAAUCAUUUCUUUGCCAAAGGAAUAACUCAGAUUUUCAUUUCUAGUCGCAGUGGUAUUAGACUCCUGAUAGAAACUGGGGAAACUGAGGCUCUGAGAGUUUCAUUUGCAAACGUAGCCUACUGGUGGCCUUGGGAGUAGACACCAGGGCAGAUCAACUGAAAACCCCAGUUCCUGCCCUACCUUUAGAUUCCAGAUUUUUAUUUUCAAGAGUGACUGUGAAAAAAGCAGCCAUUUAAAGUCCGAACAGCUUCCAUGUACAUCAGCAAGGGCUGCUGAUACCCGGCUGCAAUUUGUGACACUUCUUAUCAUUGCACCCAACAUCAAAUUCUACCAAAAUAUGGGAAAAAUCAUUUUGAUGUUUCAUUUGCAUAUCCAAGGAUUGGAGGAUGGUUUGUAUAAUCAAAUUAUGUCGAGUUGUAAAAGGGAGCAUGGUUUAAAUAGCUUACAAAAUUACUUUGAAGAUGCACAUUAAAAUCUAAAGAACCCAUCGCCUUCAAGAUCUUUACAAAAAGCUAAAUGCUAAUUGAUUAUGACAGCUUUGUCUUUACCACUGGCUGCAGUCAGUGUCACAGCCCGCAUAUCACUCUCUGCUCCCCUCCUCUUCCAGCCACAUUCAUUCCAAGCUCAAGUAACAGAUGGAAUUUUAUGCAUGACUGGCUUUCCCCCCCUCUCCCCAUAGUUGAUCAAAAGGAGCAGCCUAGAAAAAAAAAAUAAAAACUAGAAUUUGCUGAAAUUCUGAUUUCUUUCAGCAGUUUUAUAGAUUUUAUAACUUAUCUUUUAUUGACUAUGCAAGGUCUCUGGUCCCCAGCAUCUGUUUGUUGCAUCUGGGGAAAAAGAUAAAUUCCCCCUUUUUGAUACCACCAAGCCAAAAUUAACAGACAAACAGGAGUUAAUAGAAAAGGAGAGAAAUGUAUCCCUGUCCAUCCAGUGUCCUCUUUCCCAGUCUCUCUGUGGACAGGACAAAAGGAGGGAGAAUACGGGGCUCUUCCUACUUGUCGGGUUUACUAGCUUAGGGGUAAACAUCCUGAAGACGGGCGGAACCACCUAGAACAGGUCCUCUCCCAAGAGAAGACCUGGGAACUGUGGGGGACUUGGCCAUGAGCAUGGGUAAGGAGGCUACUUUGUAUACAUGGAAAAGAAAAGAAAAGAAACACUAAUCUACACAUCGUUUACAAUUUCUUAGACUUAAAGAAUUGUGCCUGGUCACCCAGAGACAUGAUUCCACAUCAUGGAGCUUCAUUAUAAUAAUGGCCCGGUCCUCCGACUUGUUUAAAACCUCAGCUGUUCGAUCCAGCCUCUGCAGCUCCAUAACUGUUCAUAAGAUUAAUAGACUCCGAUGCACAAUUGACUCUCCCACCGGGAGGGGAAAAAAAGAGAAUAAUCAGAGGCCGCACAGAAGUAGCAUCCCCAUAAGGAGGUGGUGUCUGUCCCAUUGAAGAGGUCAAGGGCAGGGGAGGAUUGCUAGCACAGCAGAGGAAGAGUCCUGGGGAGCGGAUGGGACACACCCCUGCCAUUUAGUCUUUAGUGGGCAACUAAAAAACAGCCUGAGUGUCUUGGCAGGGUCAUGCUCUGCAGCAGGGAGCAAGGUCAGAGCUGGAAGAGGCGGGACAGAGGAUCGGGCGCCUACCACACGAGCGUGGAAGGCCAGGGAAGGGGAAUCCUCAGAGGAACCGGAAGUGGUGGAGGCUCUGAUGGGUGGUGUCAGUGGAACUCAGAAGGACAGUGUGUGUCCCUGGCUGCUCCUUCCCAUUCUGGGGUUAUGGGUCACAGAGUGUCAUGCCAGGUCCCCCGGGUCUUUCAAAGAGAACAUGAGCUGGUAAGGGUGGCGGGGCAGGCCUCGGAGUGUCACCUUGAAGGUUAAAGGAAAUGAAGGACUUGGGUGAGUGGGGGGCAGAGCUGAGGCUCAGAGGCAGGCCCUGCUGACCACACAGAGCUGCAGAAGGGGUGUGCCUGGACCAGCAGAGCAGGGUGGGCGCCCUCACGCUGCAGACUUCGGACACGGUCCCUGCAUGCUUAGAGGGUCAUUUUAUAGAGCAGUCACUCGGGGGCCUGGCGACUUGAACACAGGACCAGGCCUGACCAAAAGGUGGGGUCAGCAGCAGACUGUCACGGCUAGCUGGCGGCACGCCCGCUCUCCUUUCACCCACGGCACCUCUCCUCUCGGCUUGUUCUAAUGUUCCAGAAAAAGACCGGUCUUAUGGGGGCGGGGGUUGGAGGAGCAAAAUUAGAAGAAGAGAUCGAAGCACAGAGGGCCUUCUUUUCUACCCCAAAUAGUGAGAGACCCACACCCCACACAUAAGGAAGAGAGAUGGGAGCUGAUCUUCCAUGGUCAUCAGAUUUGGGCUCCUUCCUCUUUGCCGUAAAUAACCGCUCUUAGCUGACAUCUGCUGCUGCUUCCCCACUGCCUGAAAAGCGCAGAGUGAUCGCAGAGAUCAGGCUCUAUCUCUGCUUCUGUUUUCCUUUGAACUGACCACCAAGUGACCCGGUGUGAAGGCAGGUCACGUCCUUGCUAAUGUGGCCAGAGUCACAUAUUUGCCUGAGGAAAGCCUGCUGCACCAGAGUGAAGGCAUGUCACAGGCUCCUGCGUGACAUGGGGGUGCUCCACCAUGAACCUUCUCCUGCAGAUUCCUGUGAGACUUGGCACCAUUUUAGAAGUGCAUUUUGCAUCAUGGAUAGAAGAGGCCAGGGUCUCAGAGUUGGCUCUAUCUGAAAGACCUCCUGGCCAGGUGAACUCCAGUUAGUCCUUUCUACCAUUUCAGGGCCAGACAAGCAGAGAGUGCCCAACAUCAGUUUAUUGUCUUCUAAGAACCACUGGUCUUCUUCAGAGAAGGGAAGAGUCCUUGCUGUACCUGGGUCUGCCAAGCGCUAAUCUGACAUGGCAGCGAGGAGCAGUUCAGCCCAGGCUGUCUUCCACCUCACAGGUUCGGAAUGCUGUCUGCUAGCGCAGGAGUCAAACAAUUCCCUGGCAGUAGAUUGCUUUGCACUUAGAGGUCUACUAAGUAAAUAGAAAUGUAAUUAACAGUGUGCUAUGGUGGAUGUAUCAGGUGGAAUUUCAUUAGAGCAGAAAGAACUGAGAGAAUCAGGAAGUCAUUUUUUGUCCACUGUCUGAUGAAUCUUUCAUGCUGUCUUUCUCUAGGAUGGGCACGUUAUCUCUGCUUGUCUUCAAGAAGAGAAAUUUCUGAACUUCCUAUUAUAUCUUCCCUUUGAUCAAGGGGAAAAGGAAAAAGAAAAGACAAAAAUCUCGAGUUUCUAGAAUCGGCCCCCAAAUAAAGAAUCCUUCUUACUUUUCCAUCUAAUGAUUUUGGUCCUGAAACCUAACAGUGAUUGUCCCUCUCUUUUGUGGUAUUUGUGUUUUUAUUUUUUUUCCAACUUUUAAAUAUCUGAUUUUGAAACAUGAACCAAACGUCUCAUCAUUUCCCCCUCCCUCCGGAAAAUAAAUGGCAUCAUGUCACUGAAACAGCAGGAAGAAACAGAAUUGCAUAGGAAGGAAAUUUAUGCUCAGUUGGAAAGAUAAAAGGAGAUUAAGGCAUUUAUUUUUAGCUGCCUUUUAAAAAAUAUAUUUGAAAAUACUAAAUUCAAUUUCACAUGUCCA
rnacentral:lncRNA from 1 species